UCAUUUUAGGGUUUUGAUCUAGGCGGUCCAUCUAUCCAUUUCAUUUUAGCCUUUCUCUUUUUUACACUUAAUUCUAUUCACCCGCUCCUCAAGAUGAAGCCUAUUCACUUUCAACACUUCAAGUCCCUCACCAUCACUUUUUUAACCCUUUGUGUUUUCUUGUUGCAGGUGCUUCAUCUUGAACAGAAGUCGGUGAUGUGCUAAGGUUCCUAAAGGUUUCGAGAGUAGAUCGGUGAACUGUUCUCUCAAGGUAACGUGU
rnacentral:lncRNA from 1 species